rnacentral:sRNA from 1 species
AGCACCGGAGGUCAACACCCGACAGCGCGAUGCGCCCUCGGGUGUCGUUUGG